CUUUCCUCCGUUCCGAACGCACGGAGCCUGGGGCCGCAGCGCCGCCGCCACUCGUGCCUGGCUUCGGAAAGGGCCCACCCUGCUGCUGCCACCCGCUCGCUUCGGCCGCCGCCUUCGCCGGGCUCCAAGACUCGGCCUACGCCACCGCCCCCGUGCGCGCGGACCGCCGCCUUCGCCUUCGCCUUUUGUUUCCUCUUCUCCGGCGCCCCCACCCCGGCUCGCGCUUUGCAGGGGACGCAGCGCGCGCCCCCAGCGGGCCCGGGAAAAGCCUCGGAGCGCGCGCUUGCGCUUGCGCGGCGGACCCCUCCUCCUCCCCGCGCGCGCGCGCCUUUUGGCUGCGCGCCGGCGCCGCCUGGCGGGCGGGAGGGGAGGUGGCAGCCGCGUUUGCAGGAGGGGCGCACCUCUUCGCUCGUUUACCCCCUGGAAGGUAGACCUAGAGAGGGAGGCGGGCAGGCGGCGAGGGAGUGCUACGUGGGUCCGGCGGAGGUUGAGGGCGGCUAUGUCGGGGGCAGGGCCCCGCUGGGUCUAGCCCUUUUUAUUAGAGCAGGGGGCGUGUGCGCUGGGCGCACCUGAGAGUACUAGCGAGCCGUGGGCCGCACGUGCCGAGAGUGUGAGUGGUCCGCUGCACAAGGCGUCUCGCUGCCCGAGGGAAGGGACAAGGGACUGGCGGGUGCCCGGCCGGGCGAGUGGGGAAGGGGCAGCGACCAUGGAGCGGGUCAACGACGCUUCUUGCGGUCCGUCGGGCUGCUACACCUACCAGGUGAGCAGACACAGUACAGAGAUGCUGCACAACCUGAAUCAACAACGCAAAAACGGCGGGCGCUUUUGCGAUGUGCUCCUACGGGUCGGCGACGAGAGCUUCCCAGCGCACCGCGCUGUACUGGCUGCCUGCAGCGAGUACUUUGAGUCUGUGUUCAGCGCCCAGUUAGGCGACGGCGGAGCUGCCGACGGUGGUCCUGCUGAUGUGGGAGGCGCAGCGGCCGCUCCAGGCGGCGGGGCUGGGGGCAGCCGAGAACUGGAGAUGCACACCAUCAGUUCCAAAGUGUUCGGAGACAUCCUGGACUUCGCUUACACGUCCCGCAUCGUUGUGCGCCUCGAGAGCUUCCCCGAGCUCAUGACGGCCGCCAAGUUCCUGCUGAUGAGGUCGGUCAUCGAGAUCUGCCAGGAAGUAAUCAAACAGUCCAACGUGCAGAUCCUGGUGCCCCCUGCCCGGGCUGAUAUCAUGCUCUUUCGCCCUCCUGGGACUUCUGACUUGGGCUUCCCUUUGGACAUGACCAACGGGGCAGCCAUGGCAGCCAACAGUAACGGUAUUGCUGGCAGCAUGCAGCCCGAGGAGGAGGCUGCCAGGGCCACAGGUGCUGCUAUUGCGGGCCAAGCUUCCCUGCCUGUGUUACCUGGGGUGGACAGAUUGCCCAUGGUGGCUGGACCCCUAUCUCCCCAACUACUGACUUCUCCAUUCCCCAAUGUGGCAUCCAGUGCACCUCCACUGACUGGCAAGAGAGGCCGGGGACGCCCCAGGAAGGCCAACCUGCUGGACUCCAUGUUUGGGUCUCCAGGGGGCUUGAGGGAAGCAGGCAUCCUUCCAUGUGGCCUGUGCGGGAAGGUGUUCACUGACGCCAACCGGCUCCGGCAACAUGAGGCCCAGCACGGCGUCACAAGCCUCCAGUUGGGCUAUAUCGAUCUUCCUCCUCCAAGGCUGGGUGAGAAUGGGUUACCUAUCUCCGAGGACCCCGACGGCCCCAGAAAAAGGAGCCGGACCAGGAAGCAAGUGGCUUGUGAGAUCUGUGGCAAGAUCUUUCGUGACGUAUACCAUCUCAACCGGCAUAAGCUGUCCCACUCUGGGGAGAAGCCAUACUCGUGCCCGGUGUGUGGUCUGCGGUUCAAGAGAAAAGACCGCAUGUCGUACCAUGUGAGGUCCCAUGAUGGGUCAGUGGGCAAACCGUACAUCUGCCAGAGCUGUGGGAAAGGUUUCUCCAGGCCAGAUCACUUGAAUGGACAUAUCAAGCAGGUGCACACUUCUGAGCGACCUCACAAGUGUCAGGUGUGGGUUGGGAGCAGCAGCGGCCUGCCGCCCCUGGAACCUCUUCCUAGCGACCUGCCAUCAUGGGACUUUGCCCAGCCUGCUUUGUGGAGACCUGCAAUGCCUCCUUUGCUACUCGAGACCGACUGCGCUCCCACCUGGCCUGUCAUGAAGACAAGGUGCCAUGCCAGGUGUGUGGAAAGUACUUGCGGGCAGCGUACAUGGCAGACCACCUGAAGAAGCACAGCGAGGGGCCCAGCAACUUCUGCAGUAUCUGUAACCGAGGUCUCCAGGCACCAGGAACCCAUCCUGAAUGGGGGAGCAGCGUUCCACUGCGCCAGGACCUAUGGCAACAAAGAAGGCCAGAAAUGCUCCCAUCAGGAUCUGAUUGAGAGCUCUGAUUCUUAUGGUGACCUCUCAGACGCCAGUGACCUGAAGACGCCAGAGAAACAGAGUGCCAACGGCUCUUUCUCCUGCGACAUGGCAGUCCCUAAAAACAAAAUGGAGUCUGACGGGGAGAAGAAGUACCCAUGCCCUGAAUGUGGGAGCUUCUUCCGUUCUAAAUCCUACUUGAACAAACACAUCCAGAAGGUGCAUGUCCGUGCCCUUGGGGGUCCCUUGGGGGACCUGGGCCCUGCCCUUGGUUCACCUUUCUCUCCUCAGCAGAACAUGUCUCUUCUUGAGUCCUUUGGAUUUCAGAUUGUUCAGUCAGCGUUUGCAUCAUCUUUAGUGGAUCCUGAGGUGGACCAGCAGCCCAUGGGGCCUGAAGGGAAAUGAGACGUGCUGUGUCCCCACAGAACAGCCGCUGGGGACUGCUGAGCAAUGCUGUGAAUGCGGAGGGAAGUGAUGUCUUUGGGUUCUGUAGCUGAGAGGUUUUUAUUCAUUUUUAACCCCCGUCCCUUCCCCUCCCUCCCUCCAUUACCCCACCCUGCUGUGGUCUUAGAAAUAGACUCUCAACUGUUACUCUCUGUAGAAAUACCUGCGAGACUCAGUAUGGGACAAGGGCAGAAAGCACUGCAUAGGCCUCUGAGGCAGCACCAGUCCUGGUUUCUCUGGUGCUCUGGAGCCAGGAUUUCUGGUGCUCAGUUAUUGGUGAUCCUAACCCCAAGUCCAAGGCACUCUUGGACCUCACUUGGUAGUUUUGGUCCCUCCCACUUCUUUCAUUCCUCACCCCUCUUCCUCUGUCCUCAAAAGAAGUUAAGUAGGGUCUUUGCCCUCUUAUGGCCAACUAUUUGUGAGGAAGCCAGAAACCUGUAGCAUCCCAUGGACCAUACGAAGAGUGUCCUCUGAGGUUGGCCCUGGUCUUCCUGAGCUGCUGGACGCUAACAUUUCACUGCCAGGACAAGCUCAUCUACUGAGGACACCUCUAGCCCAAAUUCCAGUUCUUACUUGAUUUUAACCAUUCAACUUGCUGUUGGGUUUUGAUUCUCUAAUUCUUAUUAUUGUUAUUUUUAGGACCAGUUGUAGUGAAUUGCUACUGAAAGCUACCCCAGGUGACACAGAGCUCUUUGUAAACCGCAGUCACACAUUAGGGUUAGUAUUAAACUUUGUUUAGGUGUACCAUAAUUAACUUGGCUAGUUGUUUGAAGUCUAUGGAAGAAAUAGUUUUAUGCAAAAUUUUAAAAAAAAAUUCCAGUUUGAUCAGGAAGAGGGUUCAAUGGUAUUGGGAGCCAGGAAGGUGGGAGAACCUCAGGUAGAGACAUUGUGUACCUUGAUUGUGUUACACUUGAGCAAGCCCAGGUAAACCUUGUGAUGUGAAUUGACCUGAUCAGACUAUAUUAAAAAUGUUAGUACAAUA